AGAGUUUGAUCCUGGCUCAGAUUGAACGCUGGCGGUAGGCUUAACACAUGCAAGUCGAGCGGAAACGAUGAUAGCUUGCUAUCAGGCGUCGAGCGGCGGACGGGUGAGUAACGCGUAGGAAUCUGCCUAGUAGUGGGGGACAACCUGUGGAAACGCAGGCUAAUACCGCAUAAGCCCUACGGGGGAAAGGAGGGGAUCUUCGGACCUUUCGCUAUUAGAUGAGCCUGCGUGAGAUUAGCUAGUUGGUGAGGUAAAGGCUCACCAAGGCGACGAUCUCUAGCUGGUCUGAGAGGAUGAUCAGCCACACUGGGACUGAGACACGGCCCAGACUCCUACGGGAGGCAGCAGUGGGGAAUAUUGGACAAUGGGCGCAAGCCUGAUCCAGCCAUACCGCGUGUGUGAAGAAGGCCUUAGGGUUGUAAAGCACUUUCAGAAGGGAGGAAAGGUUGAUGUUUAAUACGCAUUAGCUGUGACGUUACCUCCAGAAGAAGCACCGGCUAACUCUGUGCCAGCAGCCGCGGUAAU
rnacentral:rRNA from 1 species